AGUAAGAGCGUACCUUUUUGCAUAAUGAGGUCACCAAGUUAACAUUAGAUGCAAGCAUCACCAAAUGCAUAAUUAAACUGAUCAUAAAUUAAUGAGUAGUGUCUAAAGUUAGACCCGAAGCCUGGUGAUCUUACCACAAUCAGGACUAUAAAGGUCCGAACGGGUUAUCGUUGCAUUGAUAUCCGAAGAAUUGUGGUAAGCAAGUGAAAGACAAAGCUGACUAGGAUAGCUGGUUUUCUGCGAAACCUAUAAAAGUAGGCAAUUUGAUAACAUCUUAGCAGGUACAGAACUUCAUCUCAGGCAAGAUGUGUAUUAUAGGAAGAUUCCUAACACAUUUUAUUCUUGUACAGAUCGGGGAAUCGUGAAGAUUUUACCGGUGAGAUUGUAGACUCGGAAUGGCAAAGAUGAAUAUUUAAUUAUCGGACAUAGAAUGAUAAGGUUGUAUGUCAAAAGGAAACAGCCCAGAACAAGAGUUAAGGUUCCAAAGUUAUUGUUAAGUGAAAUUAAGAAGGUUUUAUUUAAGUCGACAAGGGAUAGGCCUAGGAGCAGCCAUAAUUUAAAGAUCUCGUAACAGAGCACUUGUUAAGUUUUAAGAGCAUCGAAAAUUUAACGGAUCUAAAUAAUAUACCGAAACCUUGUCCAUAUUUAAAAAUAACUUAAAAAGAAAGCUUACUAGCUUUGUUAUUUUAUUUAAUGGGGUAGCAGAACGUUGAGUGUAUACAAGAGCAUUCUUAUUUUAAGAAUAGUUCUAUAACUCAAGUGAGAAUGGUGACAUGAGUAACUAAAAGAGUAUAUUAAAUACUCUCGCCUAAAGCUUAUGGCUAUAUUAUCAAGUAUCGGCCUCUAAGUUUUUAACCUCAAGGUUAUAACGAUGAGUGAAACUUAUUACUAAAUAUGACAACAUUUCUUAAGUGAGAAAUGUGCUGGAAAAAGAUUAGUAAGUACAUAUUUAUAUAAAAUAGAUAUGUAAAUAAACCGUACCUAGAAUCUGUGACAAGUAAGCUAGUAGAGAAUACGAAGGCGUAAAUGAGAUAACAAUCAUAAAGGAACUCGGCAAAUUGACUACCGUAACUUAGGGAUAAGGAGGGCUCAUUAGUCUUGAUUAAUAUCAGGUAAAAGGAAGAAGCAUAAAAUAAUGUUGUACGACUGUUUAAUUAAAACAAAGCACUUUGCGUAAAAAUGAUAAAUCUAAGUAUAGAGUGUGAUCUCUGCCCGAUGCCGGCUGGUUAACGGAAAUAACUAAAUUGUGAAAGGUUUGGUGUAGAAGGAACCCCGGUUAAUGGCGGCCUUAACGUGAGGGUCCUAAGGUAGCGAAAUGCCUUGGCCGUUAAAUGCGGUCUUGCAUGAAUGACGUAACGAUACAACAGCUGUCUCUAUGAUUGACUCAGUGAAAUUGGAAUAACUGUGCAGAUACAGUUUACCUCUAGGUAGACGAGAAGACCCUAUGCAGCUUUACUGUUACUAAUUAUUGAGUAUAAUAGACAAAUUUUAGAAGAUAAGGUAAUGGGUGGUUAAAUAAGCUAGGGCGCAAAACGCCCUCUAUUUCUCCCUUCAUGGAAUUGAAAUCCCUUUAUUUGGAGAUUAUACUGUAAGCGUAAGCUCUAAAUUUAUUUAGGGUUUACCAAAACCCUGUAAGAGGGACAUUUGCUAGGAGACAGUUUAUGCGGGCACAGACCCCACAAAGAGUAAAUGGGAGUGUCCAACAAAUAAUUUGCAUAUUAAUUUAUGUAUUUUUAGUUUAUAACACAGACUGAGAACUUAUCUAGGAUUAACAUACUGUAGGUUUAUACCUACACUUGUUAUGAUUAGAGUGGUAACUGAGCAUACAGGCUUCAGUAAAUUUAUGUUUUUAGGUAAGUAGACAACUAUGGUGAAGUUAGUAAUAGUAGUUAAUAAUAUUAUGAAAUAAAGUGUUAACUUCUUCUAAUAUUAUUAGAGAUAUUAUACUGCGCUUAAUCGCGUAAAGUAUAAUAAAAAAUUGUAAAACAUAUUGACAGGUUUAACGGCAAAAUCUUGCCUUACUGUUUGAUUAACAACAAAUCUUACAGUCGCGUAAGCGGGCAUAGGAUCACGAGAUUCAAAAGGAAAGGUCUUGGAUUAUUGGAAAAGCUACGCUAGGGAUGUUUGUCCUUCAAUGUUUAAUAAUAAUAGGACGGCGAUAUAAAAGGCUAGCCUUAAGCCCUCUAAGUCCAUUAUUAAAAAACUAUUGAUAAUAUAUUGG
rnacentral:rRNA from 1 species